UUCCAUUUAUCAUGUUAUUAAAAUAUUUUGUUUAUAGACUUCAUCCAAAUUCUAGCCCAGGUUUUAACAAAAAUAAUUAAAAGGAAAAGCCACCGAAAAACAAACAAACAAAAAAAAACCACACCUAGAGGUCAGAAGUUUGAAGACUUCUCGAACAUAAAUUAUGGAAAGUAUCUGUGUCGGUGAAACCGUCUCUGUGUUUACCAGGUAUUUGAUCAAUACCAAUAUGUGCAGAAUCUAACACUAACACUUGUCAUACAGAUUUUGGAGAGCAAAAGUUAUCAAAGAAUUGUCGCUGCGUCAAAGCCUGUGGGCGUGGCCAAGUCUCAAAAUCUGACCAUUCGCUCUCAGUGUGUCUGACGAAGUGGGUAAAAGUAUCCAUAUUCUUCACACACCUUAAACUUCAUUGUAUUUUAUAAGGACUUGACAAAAUCACACUAAUAUUUUCAAACAAAAUGUUAAAUUUUACCCAUCUCUACUCUGAUACCCCAAAAUGAAAAAGUGGAACUAGUUGCCUCAGUUAUUCCCUAAUGAGGAAUAUUAGUCUAGAACUGACACCUUCCAGGAUAGAGGCACUCAGGUUCUCCAUCUAUAGGUGUUCACGUUUUUCCUGUGUUGUAGAUUCUAUCUUUUUCUCCAUCUCUUUGAGCCUACUUUUUAAUCUGCUGACACACACACACGCCACAGCUUACACAACCAUGUUUUUGUAUGACUGACGCCAGUCGCUUUCUGCUGGAUAUAUCUUCCUGUUGGAGGGAAGUUUUUCCACUGUCACUGUUAUGUAUGUGAUAAAACAAUACAUUAUUCAAUGGCACUAUUUUGUGUACUAUGUGGAAGAAUACCAAAUGUGGUAUCAGCGCAUUGAUCUCACUAUGUUCUUGGGAAAAAUGUUUAGUAAACUAAGUCACGUUCCACUGAGGUUCUGUUGAGUUCAUAUAGUUAAGUUAUGAGAAGAAACACAACAGUCGCUAUGUGUUUGUCCAACAGGACUGGGUUUCUUUAAAUGGAAAACUUUAAGCUUAUUUGAAUGAAAACAUAACCUUGACGCAACUGUUUGAUAACUCGAAUCAAUUUAGAAUGUAUGGAAGUGAAUAACGAAGAUGUAGCCUAUCACAAAAAAUACCGACAAAUAUAUGAAACUUUUGAUUGCAAUGUAAUCAAAAGAUACAUUACAACUUCAAGGAACUGCACACCCGAGUGUUUCGAAUUGAACUGGUAAAACCAGGAAAGAUACCACAGCUCACACACACACACACACACACCGCACAAUAAUACUGCAGGAACAAAGCCUUUUAAGAGUCAGAGUCACACCUGGCAGUGUUAUGUUUCUCACUCGGGUUACGCAACCUUUGAGCCAUCGUCGUCUACAGACGGCAAAACACUGACCCCGACCCACAGGAAGUUACACCUGAGGAACUUUAAAGAUAGGUGGGGGGCAAGGGGAUAAUAAAAUAAGCUUUAAAAAAAAAUCAGGUCAUAGAUCGAAAUGAGCUCUGUGGUCAGGGUGACACCCGACCUUUAGAUUCUUAAAUGUUUUGUAGCUCCCAAAACAUUCUCAGCCAGGUCCUUCACGCUCCACACACACAGAUUACAGGACCCUGUGGUGUCUAGUGUUUUGCCAUUCACAAACAUUUUAGCCUUCAUCUGUAAACACGCCGUGCGCUAUCCGAGUUUUCCACAAAGUCUUCGGCUACAGCUGCGCCUCAGUCUGGUUAGCUGCCUGCGUUAGGUACGUGAGGAGGUGUUUUUUUUUUUUUCUUUUUUGUCUAGCCAGGACCAGAUGGCAGGGAAUGUUUAGUCAAAUGGGAUUAGAGAUUAGGAUUAAGUGGACUUUAAAUUACUCAGACGCACAGUCACUGGAUGACACACUACUACGCCGCAGCUACGAGUUGAAGAGGAGAACAACACGCCAAUUUUUUAAAAACUCCUCCGGUGUAAAAGUGGUGAAAACUUAGCAAGACGAAAAAUGUAAUGUUGCAUAAAAUGCAACAUUAUGAAAUAUACCGCUAAACAUUGCAGGGGGGGAAAAAAUAGAUUUAUAUUCAAGGAGAAAAAGUUAAAGACUGUACUUAUACUUUAACCAUAAGAAUCCUGACUAUUCACUUCUUUAUGUCAAACAAGGACGAAUCAGAAAUCCUAUUAGUCGAUACAAAAAGAGAAACAAGGACCAUUCACCUCGGGGAAAAACAAAGUCACUGGGUUAAAGGGUUAAAUAAGGUCACAAGUGGCUGUUUCCCAUUCACAUCUCAGGAAAUCAAAGUUGCAAAACAGCAUUUUUUUGUUUUCCAUUUCCAUCUUUCAGACACUAAAAUAAGGUAAUUUGGAUUUGAAGAGAUGAAGAAAACUAAUGGAUUUCUUUUAAACAGACCAGUUCAUUGUAGACCCAGUCAGAUGUUUGGACACUCAGUUUGGAAAACAAAUAAUCAGCUUUGAACGUUUUUGAUGAUUCUUAUGAAAGAACCGUACAAAACAGAAUCUUGUUUCGUUUUAUUUACUUUACAUUAUGGUUAGAGCUCCUCAUUGCAUUUUCGAAACCAUUUGAAAGAAGGUUUAGUGCAGUUUAUUUCUACAUGUUUGACCAAGGUAGUCAACCUAUUGUUUCUGUCCGUUUCAGUUUCUUUAUUUAUUUUACAAUGGCUGCUAUUCUUCUAAUUGCACCGAGUGAAUAAAUUAAAGUUGUUUUCACGAGUUUGACCUAGCUUGAGAUGUUGUCAGUGCAUCUAGGUGUGGCGUUCUGGUGCAGAGUAAUCAAAUACAUUUAUAAUUCAGUGCAUUUAUGUCUGUGUUUUUCUGCAUCGGCUCGGUGUCGGUCGGUGCUAACCCUCAGAUAUCGGAAUCGGUAUUGAAAGUGAAAAAGGUGGAUCGGCCCGUCCCUACACCCUACAUGCCAAUUGGUGCAGUGCUGUUGGGUUAUUGUGUCUGUUCUUGGGGCCUAUUCCAACCACACCCAAGCAGUUGACACACUGUUUCUCAUCUUUUAAUGUAAGCUAGUACAUUGAAAAAUGUGCGUUACAUAGGUCUAACCCAGAGGAAAUGAAGGAAAUUCUCUGGGACAUUAAGGUCCUGUCGUUUCUUUAAAGAAUGUCUGGCGGUUUUGAUAGAACUGGUUCUGAAUAUUGAGCGCUUAUUGGGAUCAAAGGUGUGGAACUGCCAUCGUUCCACAGCGUCAGGACAAACGCCUCAGUUUUACCACAAACUUUUGUUUUACUUAGUUAUUCAUUUAUAACAACAAGCCAAAAGGGGUCCAACACAUCAGCUUACAAGGAGAUCUGUCACAGAAAGCAAUAAAUCAGUUAAUCCCAUGAUAAAUUAAAACAAACUCGCUAACUUUUGUUUGCAUAAUUUAUUUUUUCUCUUUUCUCUCUGGAUGAUAAAAAUCUUCAUUCUGGUGCUUUGGUUUUAAUUAGACCCUGUUAAGAAGCACAGAGACUUCCAUUAUUUGUUGUUUUGUUUACUUACUUUGGAUAUUUAAAAUGUCUUCCAGUUCAAGUACUAAAGGCUCAUUAGAAUUUGAAGUUUAAUGAUCUUUAAGAAUGUGUUUUUGCGUUGUUUUUCCAUUACCAUUACAUUACUUGAAAAUGGUCUCAAAACAACAAUAUUAUCGUUUAUCGCGAUAACUUCUUAGACAGCUUAUCGUCCAACACAAUUUGUCUUCUUAAAAGGUCUAAUCAUAGGGUUAAAACAUCCGAUUCAAACACGGCUACACUGCGUCUUCUUAAACUUGGUAUGUAGAUAUCUGGUUUCGACAGCACAAAGGUCAGAGAGCACGCUACACAAGCCGGGCUGCGGCUCCCCUGCGCGUGGCCUCAGCUGCAGGAACAUUUACAUUUACAGCCUCGGUUCAGUGGGACGGGGCCGCGAGCCGAGGAUGGAAAAACCGAGCGGAAACAGGACGAGCGGUUGUGCAGUGAGUGCAGGAAAGCAUCUGCAAGAGGCAAGAAUCAGGACACGGCGUCAACAGAGCUGCUGCGUUCGAGCCAAUGAAGUUUAGGAUAUGAGCUCCAGCGCUUUGUUCCUGAAGUCCACCACCGUGUAGGUCCGCACCAACGGGUCCACAAAGUCCAACAUGUGGUGUGCGCAUUGGGCGCGCUCUUCGGCAG